UACCAGCACCCCGAGUGGUCGGGACGAUUAUUGGGCCUAAAGCAUCCGUAGCCGGUUUUACAAGUCCUCCGUUAAAUCCAGCUGCUUAACAGAUGGGCUGCGGAGGAUACUAUAAGACUUGGAGGCAGGAGAGGCAAGCGGUACUCAGUGGGUAGGGGUAAAAUCCGUUGAUCCAUUGAAGACCACCAGUGGCGAAGGCGGCUUGCCAGAAUGCGCUCGACGGUGAGGGAUGAAAGCUGGGGGAGCAAACCGG
rnacentral:rRNA from 1 species